rnacentral:tRNA from 1 species
GCACGUAUAGCUCAGCAGGAUAGAGCGACUGACUUCGGAUCAGUAGGCCGAGGGUUCGAAUCCUUCUGCGUGUG